UCCGGUGGUUAAUUCGAAAGGUCACACCUAUUCCCAUCCCGAACAUAGAAGUUAAGCUUUCGAAACCAAUGAUAGUCGAUAAAUGGCGAAAGUAGGUACCGCCGGGU
rnacentral:rRNA from 1 species